UAGGGAAUCUUCCGCAAUGGACGCAAGUCUGACGGAGCAACGCCGCGUGAGUGAAGAAGGAUUUCGGUUCGUAAAACUCUGUUGUUAGAGAAGAACAGCGCAUAGAGUAACUGUUAUGCGUGUGACGGUAUCUAACCAGAAAGCCACGGCUAACUACGUGCCAGCAGCCGCGGUAAUACGUAGGUGUCAAGCGUUGUCCGGAGUUAUUGGGCGUAAAGCGAGCGCAGGCGGUCAAUUAAGUCUGAUGUGAAAGCCCCCGGCUCAACCGGGGAGGGUCAUUGGAAACUGGUUGACGUGAGUGCAGAAGAGGAGAGUGGAAUUCCAUGUGUAGCGGUGAAAUGCGUAGAUAUAUGGGGGAACACCAGUGGAGAAGGCGACUCUCUGGUCUGUAACUGACGCUGAGGCUCGAAAGCGUGGGUAGCAAACAGG
rnacentral:rRNA from 1 species